rnacentral:rRNA from 1 species
AAGCACCGGCUAACUCUGUGCCAGCAGCCGCGGUAAUACAGAGGGUGCGAGCGUUAAUCGGAUUUACUGGGCGUAAAGCGUGCGUAGGCGGCUUUUUAAGUCGGAUGUGAAAUCCCUGAGCUUAACUUAGGAAUUGCAUUCGAUACUGGGAAGCUAGAGUAUGGGAGAGGAUGGUAGAAUUCCAGGUGUAGCGGUGAAAUGCGUAGAGAUCUGGAGGAAUACCGAUGGCGAAGGCAGCCAUCUGGCCUAAUACUGACGCUGAGGUACGAAAGCAUGGGGAGCAAACAGGAUUAGAUACCCUGGUAGUCCAUGCCGUAAACGAUGUCUACUAGCCGUUGGGGCCUUUGAGGCUUUAGUGGCGCAGCUAACGCGAUAAGUAGACCGCCUGGGGAGUACGGUCGCAAGACUAAAACUCAAAUGAAUUGACGGGGGCCCGCACAAGCGGUGGAGCAUGUGGUUUAAUUCGAUGCAACGCGAAGAACCUUACCUGGUCUUGACAUAGUAAGAACUUUCCAGAGAUGGAUUGGUGCCUUCGGGAACUUACAUACAGGUGCUGCAUGGCUGUCGUCAGCUCGUGUCGUGAGAUGUUGGGUUAAGUCCCGCAACGAGCGCAACCCUUUUCCUUAUUUGCCAGCGGGUUAAGCCGGGAACUUUAAGGAUACUGCCAGUGACAAACUGGAGGAAGGCGGGGACGACGUCAAGUCAUCA